rnacentral:rRNA from 1 species
GAUGAACGCUGGCGGCGUGCUUAACACAUGCAAGUCGAACGGAAAGGCUCCUGCUUGCAGGGGUACUCGAGUGGCGAACGGGUGAGUAACACGUGGGUGAUCUGCCCAGCACUUCGGGAUAAGCCUGGGAAACUGGGUCUAAUACCGGAUAGGACGAUGGUUUGGAUGCCAUUGUGGAAAGUUUUUUCGGUGUGGGAUGAGCUCGCGGCCUAUCAGCUUGUUGGUGGGGUAAUGGCCUACCAAGGCGUCGACGGGUAGCCGGCCUGAGAGGGUGUACGGCCACAUUGGGCCUGCGAUACGGACCAGAAUCCUACGGGAGGCAGCAGUGGGGAAUAUUGCACAAUGGGCGCAAGCCUGAUGCAGCGACGCCGCGUGGGGGAUGACGGCCUUCGGGUUGUAAACUCCUUUCGCUAGGGACGAAGCGCAAGUGACGGUACCUGGAGAAGAAGCACCGGCUAACUACGUG